ACUCCUACGGGAGGCAGCAGUGGGGAAUAUUGCACAAUGGGCGCAAGCCUGAUGCAGCAACGCCGUGUGAGUGAAGAAGGUUUUCGGAUCGUAAAACUCUGUCCUAAGGGAAGAAACAAAUGACGGUACCUUAGGAGGAAGCCCCGGCUAACUACGUGCCAGCAGCCGCGGUAAUACGUAGGGGGCAAGCGUUAUCCGGAAUCACUGGGCGUAAAGGGUGCGUAGGCGGCUUAGCAAGCCAGGGGUGAAAGGCAUUGGCUCAACCAAUGUAAGCCUUUGGAACUGUUAGGCUUGAGUGCAGGAGAGGUAAGUGGAAUUCCUAGUGUAGAGGUGAAAUUCGUAAGAUAUUAGGAGGAACACCAAGUGGCGAAGGCGACUUACUGGACUGUAACUGACGCUGAUGACACGAAAGCGUGGGUAGCGGAACAGGAUUAGAUACCCUGGUAGCACAGAG
rnacentral:rRNA from 1 species